rnacentral:misc_RNA from 1 species
AGUUGCUGUGCUGGGGCCUGGGUGGCGGCUGGAGGCCUGAGUUGGGCUCGCGGCGGGGGUCGGCAGGGGGCCGGGUGGCGGAAUGAUGGAGGAGGAGGAACUGGAGUUCGUGGAGGAGCUGGAAGCCGUGCUGCAGCUCACGCCCGAGGUGCAGCUGGCCAUCGAGCAGGUGUUUCCAAGCCAGGACCCUCUAGAUCGAGCAGAUUUCAAUGCUGUUGAGUAUAUCAAUACCCUGUUCCCAACCGAGCAAUCUCUGGCGAACAUAGACGAAGUCGUGAACAAAAUUAGGCUGAAAAUAAGGAGACUGGAUGACAAUAUUCGAACUGUUGUAAGAGGUCAGACGAACGUGGGGCAGGAUGGACGGCAAGCGCUUGAAGAGGCUCAGAAAGCUAUCCAACAACUCUUUGGCAAAAUCAAAGAUAUCAAAGACAAAGCUGAAAAAUCAGAGCAAAUGCCAUGGCUCGUGGUGCCAAGAAGCAUCUGAAGCGGGUAGCAGCUCCAAAGCAUUGGAUGCUGGAUAAAUUGACCGGUGUGUUUGCUCCUCGUCCGUCCACCAGUCCCCACAAGUUGAGAGA